rnacentral:rRNA from 1 species
CCUACGGGUGGCAGCAGUGAGGAAUAUUGGUCAAUGGGCGCGAGCCUGAACCAGCCAAGUAGCGUGAGGGAAGACGGUCCUAUGGAUUGUAAACCUCUUUUGUCGGGGAGCAAAAGACGCCACGCGUGGCGUUCCGCGAGUACCCUGCGAAAAAGCAUCGGCUAACUCCGUGCCAGCAGCCGCGGUAAUACGGGGGAUGCGAGCGUUAUCCGGAUUUAUUGGGUUUAAAGGGGGCGCAGGCGGAAGAUCAAGUCAGCGGUAAAAUUGAGAGGCUCAACCUCUUCGAGCCGUUGAAACUGGUUGUCUUGAGUGAGCGAGAGGCAGGCGGAAUGCGUGGUGUAGCGGUGAAAUGCAUAGAUAUCACGCAGAACCCCGAUUGCGAAGGCAGCAUACCGGCGCUCAACUGACGCUCAUGCACGAAAGUGUGGGUAUCGAACAGGAUUAGAUACCCCUGUAGUC